rnacentral:misc_RNA from 1 species
AAGUCGUAACAAGGUUUCCGUAGGUGAACCUGCGGAAGGAUCAUUACAUUCAGUAGCCUAGCUACUUGUUUACACCCUUGUUUUUUUGUGCACUUCAUUGUAUCCCUCGGCGGGCUUGCUCGCCGGUUGGACAACAUUUAUAACCUUUUUUAAUCUUCAAUCAGCGUCUGAAUUAUAUUUAAUAAUUACAACUUUCAACAACGGAUCUCUUGGUUCUG